AAAUUGAAGAGUUUGAUCAUGGCUCAGAUUGAACGCUGGCGGCAGGCCUAACACAUGCAAGUCGAACGGUAACAGGAAGCAGCUUGCUGCUUUGCUGACGAGUGGCGGACGGGUGAGUAAUGUCUGGGAAACUGCCUGAUGGAGGGGGAUAACUACUGGAAACGGUAGCUAAUACCGCAUAACGUCGCAAGACCAAAGAGGGGGACCUUCGGGCCUCUUGCCAUCGGAUGUGCCCAGAUGGGAUUAGCUAGUAGGUGGGGUAAAGGCUCACCUAGGCGACGAUCCCUAGCUGGUCUGAGAGGAUGACCAG
rnacentral:rRNA from 1 species